UACGGAGGAUGCAAGCGUUAUCCGGAUUCAUUGGGUUUAAAGGGUGCGCAGGCGGAUGUGUAAGUCAGUGGUGAAAUCCUACGGCUCAACCGUAGAACUGCCAUUGAUGCUGCACGUCUUGAGUCUAGUUGAAGUGGGCGGAAUGUAGCAUGUAGCGGUGAAAUGCAUAGAUAUGCUACAGAACACCUAUUGCGAAGGCAGCUCACUAAACUAUAACUGACGCUCAUGCACGAAAGCGUGGGGAGCAAACAGG
rnacentral:rRNA from 1 species